UACGGAGGAUGCAAGCGUUAUCCGGAAUGAUUGGGCGUAAAGCGUCCGCAGGUGGUUAUCCAAGUCUGCUGUUAAAGCGCGAGGCUUAACUUCGUACAGGCAGUGGAAACUGGGUGACUGGAGUAUGGUAGGGGUAGCGGGAAUUCCCAGUGUAGCGGUGAAAUGCGUAGAUAUUGGGAAGAACACCAGCGGCGAAGGCGGAUCUCUGGGCCAUUACUGACGCUGAGGAGCGAAAGCGUGGGGAGCGAACAGG
rnacentral:rRNA from 1 species